GGCGGACCUGCGGCUCCGGGCGGUUCGGCAGCGCAGCGCGGCGCGGCCGCCUGCAGGCUCCCAGGCUCGGGUCCAGCCGCCACGACCGGCUCGCGUGGCUCCGGGGGAGCGGCCGAGAGUGAAGCGCGGAGAGGGCGCCUCGGAGGCUGCCGGGGCGGCGGGGCGGUUGUCCUCUGUAGAGGGAGCGGAGCUUCCCCCUGCCCCCAAGAGCACCGGCAGCCCCGGCCCCCCGCAUCCUGGCAUCCCGGGCCCGGCGGCCAGAGCAGGCCCUGCGCCCCCUCGGCUUUCUGGUCCUCGUGCGUCCCCCGGGGCAGAGGCGCGAGGAGGGACGGCCGGCUGAGGCCUGUCACGCCUUCACUCCCGAGUGUCCAGGCGGACGGGGUCCCUGCCUCUCCAACCCCUCCUCUCCCUUGGCUUCCCCCAGGGCACAGAGCGCUCCUCCUUGUCCACAGGAGACACAAGGCUUCAAACGCACACCCCCACACCCCAAUCCUCUCCAAACACACUCAGGGCGCUGGCCACUGGUUCUCCUUCCUCCUUCCUUCCUUCCUUCUUCUGUCUUUUUUUUUUUUUUUUUUUUUUUUUGACAGAGUCUUGCUCUGUCGCCCAGGCUGGAGUGCAGUGGCACGAUCUCGGCUCACUGCAACCUCCGCCUCCUGGGUUCAAGCGAUUCUCUUGCCUCAGUCUCCCGAGUAGCUGGGAUUACAGGCAUGCGCCACCACGCCCGGCUAAUAUUUUUGUAUUUUUAGUAGAGACGGAGUUUCACCAUGUUGGCCAGGCUGCUCUCAAACUCCUGACCUCAAGUGAUCCGCCCGCCUUGGCCUCCCAAAGUGCUGAGAUUACAGGCGUGAGCCACCUCGCCUGGCCCUUUUUUUCCUUUUUUUUAAGAAAGGAAGAUCUCGCCCCUUGCCCAGGCUGGAUUCGAACUCCGGGGCUUAAGCGAUCCUUCCGCCUCAGCUUCUCCAGCAGCCAGGACUGCAGGUGCGCACCACCAUGCCCGGCGUAGCCACCCGUGUUCUAUCCCCAGCACAGCUCCUUAGAUGGUGACUUUUAACAGCUCACUUCGCCUCCCUGUCCUCAGUUUCUCCUUCUGGAAAGGAACUGGAUUGGAUGGGGAUGGUUUCUGAGGCUCCUUCCAGCUCAGUUGUCCACCUUAAAGGUGUAAGUGGCAGAGGGUGGAGCGGGUCUGGUUCAGGGAGGAGAGCUGGGAGUAAAGGCAGGCCAGGGGCUGCGAGGUGGGUGGAGGAAAGGAAGACAGGAGGGAGGAGAGCGGGGCAUGGAGGAUAGCUUUGCCAGCCUAGCCCACCAGUCCCGGCCUCUAAGAGCAGGCUGGCAGAGCCCCAAGAGCCUAUACCACGGAAGGGCCCCAUGGGAAUCCCCUCACUCUCUGGGUGCCUGAGUUUGCAGAUAUCUGUUUGCCAAAGGAUGAGGGAAGGAACAGGAAGGAACGUGCCGGCAGGACUGGAAAAUCCAGCUGGGCAGGAGAUAGCUGUGGCUGCACCUCGCACUGGAGGCUGAAGCUUUGCUUGGCUCUGCCCCUGUGUCACGUGUCAGGUGAGGCUGCUGGACCCCUGGAAGCCCCGCCAAGGGAAGUGACUACCACCAGGCCGCAAGCUCCUGUGCAGAAGUCUAGCAGCCUUUAGCUUUGGGGCCAUACACAUGUGCUUCCAAGACGGUAGGCAGAUGACGUUCAAUUUAAAUCCACUUUCCUAUACGUUUACUCAAUGAGUUCAAAGAUGCUUUUCAUUUACAAGCUUGGCGGCAGCUUCCAACACAUUAACCCAAAGGCCUUCAUGUUCUCCCCAGCCAACCCCUUUGUCCCUCUGCAGAAAGGGAACCUCCUGCAAAAUGUCCAGAUGGUUCAGAGAAGUAUAUAUGACAGGCUGGUUGCAAGUGGCAGGAACGCCCCUCUAAGUAGUUUAAAGACAUAUGUAUGGGUGUGUGUGUGUGUGCACGCGUGUGCAUGUAUAUAAUUUAUUUUUUGCUCAAAUAAUUUUGGUAAAGGUAAUUAACUAAAGGUAAAUAACUAACCUUUACCAAGAGCAGGGAUGUGGCUGGGCCCAGAAUGCAAGACUCUCCGAUAGCAGCUCCCAAGCUUAACAAGUUAAAGACACACUGCAGCUUUUCUCCAAAAUUCUAGUUAAAAGCUGAGGCCGUCACCAAACAAUUGUUGCCAAGAGCUCAGGAUGUUGUGGUUGGAGGGGCCUGCGCCAGAGGUCCACUUCUGAACCAAUCAGCAGGGCCCGGGGGCUGGGCCAUGUUCUGCUUACCUCACAGCUUCCACACCCACAGGGUUUUGGGAACCGGAGGCAGGCGGACAGCCCCAGGAGUCAUAAUGAGAAGAAAUGCUACCUCGGUACAGUGGACGAACGUGCAAACCACACAGAAAGUUUGAAAAAGGUCUACUGGAGGCUCUGCUUUCUGGUAAUGGCUCCAAAAUACAAAGGGCCUCACACUCCGGCACUGACGAAGUCCAUACGGCUCUUAGGCUGACACCCACCAGCCAGUCAAUGGGAGAGCUGGGACCAGAGGGCUGACUUGACCUCUUCAGCAGGAGUGUCCAAGGCCUUUGUGGGCGGUGGUGCAGGUUGUGCGUGUGAAUAAUGAAGGCAAUUCAUUAUUACUCAGAACACAACACCUUGGCGAUCUUUAGAAACAUGAGAAACAGAGCUUCCAAGGUACCUGCUCACACGCCUCUCUGGAGGUAAUCGCUGUGCCGUGGCUCUUAAUGAGCCACUCUCCACAUGGCCUGAGGCCUGGCACCGUGGGAAUUCCCUCUGUCCCUGAGUCAUAGGCCUCUGCUACUGAACUGUAAAUAGGGACCGGGUCAAUGACAGCGGGACAGCUGGCCCAGGGAGCAGGGUUGGGGUGGGGACUGCUGGGAGGCUGCCCUGUUAAUCUCUCUCUACCAUACAAGGCACUCCUUGGGUGACCCCCGUGACUGUGAUGCAGAACAGGGAAGGAGAGUGGGUGUUAACCUUGAGCCUAAGGCUCCUCCUCCACCUGUGGGACUGUAAGCCACCUCUCCUGGGCUGAGGGCUCUGGAAGGAGGCUUGGCUGCUCCUCAGCACUCGGGGAGCGGUUUUUCAGGCACACACACUUGAGCUCCAUGACCUCCCAGAUUCCCACCGCCCCUGCUUGACUCUUCCCCUGUCUCCCCUUCCUGAAAUGACCCCCUCUGAAUUCCUUUGACUGUUCUCUGGUUGUCAGUCUCACAGUGACAGGUGUGUAAAGCAUGAGGUGACCUUGGGCAAGUUGUUCAACCUCAGUGUUAUCACCUGUAGAACGGAGAAAACAAGACUACAUACUUUGGAGGUAAGUGUAGGUUCCAAUGAAAUAACAGAGCUUGAGGGGUCCUAUAGGCACAUGGGCCUGGAGCCAGACCCCCUGGGUUCAGAUCUGUCUUGCCGUGGGUUUUGGGGCAAGUUCCUUUUCUGUGCCUCAGUUUUAUCAUCUGUAAAGUGAGAUGAGAAUAAUGGUACCUAUUUCUUAGGACUCUUGGGAGAGUCAAUGAGCAAAUACACAGAAAACACCUUGAACAGGACCUGGCGCUAAGUGCUGGGUUGAGAGCUAGCUAUUAUUGUUGUUGUCAGAGAGCUUAAUGUUGUGCUGUGCAUACAGGAAGCUCUCAAGAAAUGAUAACUCAACAAAAGAAAAUAAAACAAAACCCGAACCUGCCUCCUUCAAUCGGGCCUUGUUUCCUAAAUGAGCCUGAGCUCCUGGGUGAGGUGCGGGCAUAGCAAGAGUUUCACACAAUUUUGAUCCUGUAUCCGAAAAGCUGCCAGACACUGUGUUUUUCUUACCCUUCUUUUUGGGGGUGGAGUGAGGAUGUCACAAACUCCCUUGGGAAACUGAUGAAAGCUACAGACCCUCUCCCCAGAAAGGUGCUUGGAAGCAAAUAUUCACAAGAUGUUGCACACAGUUUCAGGGGGUUCCUGGGCUCCCUGGGAGCCAGGGUGAGAAGCUCCAUUUUAGAUGGUGCACUGUGCCAUGUCUCAUUUGUUGGUUUGAUCCCAACAAAACACAAGCUAGCCCUGCUCCUUUGCUCAUCAGUGGGUUGUACCCCAGCUUCCACCCUGGCUCCGGGGACUCUCCUUGAUUCCUCUGCCCGGGCCCUCUGGCUCAGUGCCAGCUCCAAGCUACAAAACUUGGCUGGGAGUUGAAUGCAGAAUUUGUUCAGCGUUUGAAGGCUAAGAAAGAAAAAGGAGGAAAAAAGUAGACUCGACUUAGAAAAAAAUCAGACAAAAGAAAUCAUCCUCCAAGCCAAGUGCUAUAAUUCAUAGGGCUCAUAUUUGCUGAGUGAGACUAAAUGGUAUUUAUGGCUAAGCGGCCCUGGAUUCACCCUGGGUUGAGUGAUCCAGGAGUUGCCCAAAGUCUGGUGGAGAGGGCGGGGUGGGCCUGAGGGCUGGAAGACCAGACAACUUGCACAGGGAGACUUUGUUGCUGUUCAUAGAUGAUGUGGUUUUUCCCCUGCUUAAUGUUAAGUGUAGUUUCAGAAUUUUGUAUGUGUUUCUGGGAAGAUGAUUCCCUCAAGCAAUAUUACUUGGGGUAGAUGGUAUACUUAGAAUUGGAUUAUUAGCCAUAGGGCCCAUUCAUUCAUACGCUCAUUCAUUCAAGGUUUAUGAGGUGCCUUCUUUGUAUGAGAAGCUGUUCUAGGCACUGGGGAUACAGUAGUGAUUGUGGCAAUAAUGGUCGCUGUCCUAAUUAAGUUUACAGUGUUGGCAGGAGAGACAGAGAACACAAAAUAAACAGUAAAUAUAUAUUGGAUGAUAUGGUGUGAUAAGAAGAAAAAUACAGUAGGCUGGGAUCUAGAGAAGGUUGGGGGGCACACUUUCAGUGAAUGGUCAGGAAAGGCUUCUUCCAGCAGAGGCUGAAGCGGGGAGGGAGGGAGUUCAGCACAGGUCUGAGAAAGGCCCCUGUGAGGAAGGAGGACCAGGCACCAGGUGACCAAUCCUGAUGGGGCUGGGAUAGCCCAGUAGGAGUGAUGACCCACAGGGUCAGUUCCCACUGCUGGGGGUUUCUGGAUGACGAGGUUGUUGAGCACCCCCAUGCUUAUGGAUACCAUGAGAGGAAGCAUAGGGGAUAGAGGGACAAGCUAAAUGACACUAGGAGGAGACAAUCAGAUAAAUCCAGAAUGUGGGACAUUCUACAAGACGACUAGCCUGAUCUCUUCAAAAAAGCCAUGUAAUGAAAAAUAAAAGUGCAGCCAUAAAAAAGAAUGAAAUCAUGUCCUCUGCAGCAACCUAGGAGGAGCUGGAAGCCAUAAUCUUAAGCAAAUUAAUGUGAACAGAAAACCAAAUACUACAUGUUCUCACAUAAGUGGGAGCUAAACAUUGGGUUCUCAUGGACAUACAUAAAGAUGGCAACAAUAGAUACCAGAGACUACUAGAGAGGAGAGGGAGGGAGAAGGGGAAGGGUUGAAAAACUAACUGUUGCAUACUGUGUUCACCAGCUGGGUGGCAGGAUCAUUUAUACCCCAAACCUCAGCAUUAUACAAUAUGCCCAGGUAACAAGUCUGUACAUGUACCCCCUGAAUCUAAAAUAAAAGUUGAAAUUAUAAAGAAAAAGAAAAAGAUGGGAGAACUGUUCUAGAUGAAAAGAAACAUACAACCAAAUGAGAUGUAUUUUCCUUGAGCAACCCCUGGUUUGAACAGGCAAACCAGAAAAGACAUUUUAGGGACAUUUGGAGGAAUUCAAAUAUAGACUUCAUUUCAAAUGGGAGUCAGAAAUUAUGUUUAACUGUCUUAGGUGUGAUAACAGUGGUGAGGUUAGAUAUGGAAAAUCAUCCCUUUAUUUUGGAUAUGGUGUUGGUGUGUGUGGGUGACAUGGGAGAAUGUCCAUAA
rnacentral:lncRNA from 1 species